rnacentral:rRNA from 1 species
AACGAACGCUGGCGGCAUGCCUAACACAUGCAAGUCGAACGAGAUCUUCGGGUCUAGUGGCAGACGGGUGAGUAACGCGUGGGAACGUACCUUUUGGUUCGGAAUAACGAUUGGAAACGAUCGCUAAUACCGGAUAGCCUCGAGAGAGGAAAGAUUUAUCGCCAAGAGAGCGGCCCGCGUUAGAUUAGGUAGUUGGUGGGGUAAUGGCCUACCAAGCCUGCGAUCUAUAGCUGGUCUGAGAGGAUGAUCAGCCACACUGGGACUGAGACACGGCCCAGACUCCUACGGGAGGCAGCAGUGGGGAAUAUUGGACAAUGGGGGAAACCCUGAUCCAGCAAUGCCGCGUGAGUGAUGAAGGCCUUCGGGUUGUAAAGCUCUUUUACCUGUGAAGAUAAUGACUGUAGCAGGGGAAUAAGCUCCGGCUAACUUCGUGCCAGCCGCCGCCGUAA